AGUUUUCUAAGAGCCAUUUGCUUAUCAUUAAUUAAAACAAUUUUGCAUGAAAUCUCAACAGAGUUAUAUGUUCAUAUCUAUCACCAUGGGAUAAUCAUCUUCUACAUAACAAUCAUUAUAAAUGACUAAAUAAAUCUCUUUAGAUCUAGUCAAGUACACUUUUUAGAAAAAGUAGGAAUAUUUUUCUAAUUUAACAACUUAUUCUUAAAAUCAUGUUAAGAAUAAUUUAACAACUUAUUCUUAAAAUCAUGUUAUUCCUUAAAAAUACCUUUGAUAAUACUGUAUAUUAAAAUCUCAGUCAAUAUAAAUAUUUCUGUAUUGCUAUCUACCUGAGUUGCCCUUUAAAAACCUAAUACCUUGAUCCAUAUUCAGGUUUUUUUUUUUUAACUCUAGUAUGCCUGCUGUGAUGAAAGAGUCAUCUCAUCUUGUACUAAUUUCAUUUGAUACAUGGAAUAUCAUUAUGUCAUAGCUGUUGGGGUAAGCUUAAGUUCAGAGAAUCUCUAAACUUUAAUAUUAUUUUUGUGUCAAGAAUAUUUUUCUUUUCAUUUAGGUGUCUAUUUUGGCAUCUAAAUAUAGCAAAAAUGUUGGCUUUUUGAUCCUCAAAAUAUCUCAUUUUAAAAAUCGUUUUCUUAUACAAUAACCAAAUAAAAUAGCUUAAAAUAUGUUUUUGCAUGUAUUUAUCAUUUGAAUCUUUGUCUUUGUUACAUAGGCAUACAUAUGCCACGGUGGUUUACUGCACCUAUCAACCCGUCAUCUAGGUUUUAAGCCACCCAUGCAUUAGGUAUUUGUCCUAAUGCUGUCCUUCCCCUUGCCCUCCACCCCCUUGAGUUGCUUUUCAGUUUCCAAAACUGCCAUUGUGUUUCUCUUUCCUUUUUUCUUUAUUAUUGUGGGUUUUGUUUUCUUUACCACAGCUUUAUUGAGUUAUGAUUGACAUAGAAUAAACUGCACAUAUUUAAAAGAUAUAUUUUUAAAAAUAAUUAAUUUUUUAUUUUAUUUUAUUGACAAAUAAAAAUAAUAUAUAUAUUAUUUUGUACAACAUGGUGUAUAUAUACCUAUUUUAAAAUAGGUAUAUAUGGAAGAAUGGCUCCAUCAAGCUAAUUAAAUAUGCCUUACCUCAAAUACUUUUUCGUGGUGAGAACACUUAAAAUUCAGUCUCAGUGAUUUUUAACAAUAUAGUACAUUCUGAUUAACUAUAGUCACCAUGUUGUACAAUAAAUCUCUUUAAGUUAUUUUUCCUAUCUAGCUGAAAUUUUGUAUCCUUUGGCCAGCAUCUCUCUAACUGCCCCCCCGCUCCAUCCCAGGAAACCCCAGUUCUACUCUCUACUUCUAUUGAGUUCAGUUUUUUUAGAUCUUCUAUAUAAGUGAGAUCAUUCAGUGUUUGUCUUUUUGUUCCUGGCUUAUUUCACUUUGGGUACAUAUCUAAAGGAAAUGAAAUCAUUAAGUCGAAGAAAUAUCUGCACUCCCAUGUUCAUUGUAGCGUUAUACAAAAUAGCCAAGAAUGAAAUCAACCUAAGUGUCCAUCAAUGAAUGGAGAGAUAAAGAAAAUGCAGUAUGUUUACCCAAUGUAAUGCUAUUCAGCCUUAAAAAGGAAGGAAAUCCUGUUAUUGUAAAAACAUGGAUGAACCUAGAGGACAUUAUGUAAAGAAUAUAUUUCAAUAAUUUUUAAUAUAUGUAUACACCUGUGAAACUGUCACCACAAUCAAGAUAGUAAAUAUAUCCAUCAUCACCCCAGGGUGUUCUUUUUUCUUUUUUGAGACAGUCUCUCUCUGUUGCCCAGGCUGGAGUGCAUUGGUGUGAUCUUGGCUCACUGCAACCUCCAUCUCCCAGGUUCAAGUGAUUCUCCUGCCUCAGCCUCCGGAGUAGCUGGGACUACAGGCACAUGCCACCAAGCCCAGCCGAUUUUUGUAUUUUUUAGUGGAGAGGGGGGUUUCACCAUGUUGGCCAGGCUAGUCUUGAACUCCUGACCUCAAAUGAUUCACCUGCCUCAGCCUCUCAAAGUGCUGGGAUUACAGGCGUGAGCCACCGCGCCCAGCCACCCCAGAGUUUCCUGCUGCCCCUUCAUAACCUUUUUUCCUGAACCUUUGCAUCUUCCUUCGCUGCCUUUUCCAGGCAAUCUCUGAUCUUUCUGUCACUAUGCAUUAGCUUGCCUUCUCUAGUAUUUUAUAUAAAUAGAAUAUAUAGUACAUAUUAUUAUCUGGUCUGGCUUUUCUCACUCAGUGUAAUUAUUUUGAGAUCCAUCCAUGUUGUAGCAUGUGUCAAUAGUACAUUCCUGUUUUAUUGCUGAGUAGUAUUCUCUUGUAUUGAUAAAUCUACUGAUGGGCAUUUGCAUUGUUUCCAACAUUUGGCUAUGACCAAUCAUGCUUUUAUAAAUAUUUGUGUCUAAAUAUUUGCAAGAACAUAUGUUUCUAUUUCUCUUAAAUAAAUACCUAAGAGUGGAAUGGCUGGGUCAUAUGGUGGAUGAAUGUUAAACUUUUUAUGAGUUAGCCAAAAGCGUUUCAUAGUGAUUAUACCAUUAAACAUUCCUACCAGCAGUCUGGUAAUGUAAACUAUUACAACCACUAUGGAAAACAGUGUGGAGAUUCCUUAAAUAACUAAAAGUACAUUUAUCAUUUGAUCCAGCAAUCCCACUAUUAGGUGUCUACCCAGAGGAAAAGAAGUCAUUAUACAAAAACUAUAUUUGCACACGCAUGUUUAUAGCAGCACAAUUUGCAAUUUGCAAAAAUAUUGAACCAGCCCAAUGCCCAUCAAUCAACAAGUAAAAAAAUGUGAUAUAUAUAUAUAUAUAUAUAUAUAUAUAUAUAUAUAUAUGAGUACUACUCAGCUAUAAAAAGGAAUGAAAUAAUUGCAUUUGCAGCAACCUGUA
rnacentral:lncRNA from 10 species